CAAACCACAGGAAGUGAGGCUCCCUGGGGCACCUCCAGCGAUGACAUCCUGAGAUCUCACCCCUUCUUCCCAUCUCUGAUAGAGGCCGAUGUGACCAGCACAGUGCACACGGCCUGCCGUGGUUUUCCAGGCCCUGCUAACCAGCCAGGACAACACCGAAGUGCAGGGCAAGGCAUCCAUAACGGGAAGCGGCCAGGGUUAGUCUUGGCACAUACCAGGAGCAAAUGAACAAAGACUCGAGGGGCAGGUGGCCCAUCCUCUGUGACAGGAGCUGAUGGAGCAGAGGGUGCAGCAGAGGGCAUCUGGGCCCCGUGCGGAGCUUCCAGGGCUGGCAGGGGCCGAGGACAUGUGGAGCGCCUGCCUGCCCCAGCUGGCCUACUUUGGGCAGUGCCAAUGGCAGCCGGGGGCAGCGUUCCCGGCUCAGGGGGCGGCCAAUUCCAGGAAGGGCGGGCCAAGAGCCUCAGCAGGGGAAGGAACAGAUGACAUCUCGAUGCAUCAAGGGGACAUGGAACUUUUGAACAAAGAGGAAAUUAAAAGAAAUUAAUUGCAGUAAAAUCUACUAUGGUAAUCGUGUCUCGAUGUUUAGUUCAGUCAUGGUAAGUCUGUUCACGUUGCUGUGUAUCCAACACCGUCUCCAAAGAUCUUUUCAUCUUGCAAAACUGAACGUCUGUCCCUGUUCCUGCUCUACCAGUUGUCUCUCGCCUCGCCCCUGGGAACUUUCUCUCCCUGCCUUCCUUCCUUCCUAGAUUUUAUUUAUUUAUUUAGAGAAAGCACCGGUGUGUGAGAGAAAAGGAAGGGGCAGAGGGAGAGGGAUAGAAUCCUGAAGCAGCCUCCUUGCUAAGCAGGGAGCCCGACAGAGGACUUGAUCCCUCAACCUGCGAUCAUGACCUGAGCCGAAAUCAAGGGUCAGACGCUUAACUGAACCACGCAGGUGCCCCAGAAAUGGCUUUCUCCGUUCUUCCUGUAUUUGCUGUAGACACCUCAUCUAAGGGGAACCAUACGCUGUGUCCUUUGCGACUAGAACAUUUCACUGAGACGAUGUCCUCGAGGGUCAUCCGUGCUAUUGCAUGUGUCAGAAUGUCCUUCCUUUUCAAAGCUGAGUAGUAUUCCUUUGUAUGUGUGGGCGACGUUUUGUUGAUCUAAUCAUCCCCCGAGGGUCCCUUGGGUUCCUCCUGGCUUUCGGCUGUCGUGAGCAGCCCAGCUCUAAACAGAGACGCACACGCCCGCGUCUGCUAUGGUCUUCCAUUCCUAUUCCAUGGCGGUAAUGUCUCCAAUAUCUUAC
rnacentral:lncRNA from 1 species